rnacentral:rRNA from 1 species
ACUCCUACGGGGAGGCAGCAGUGAGGAAUAUUGGACAAUGGAGGCAACUCUGAUCCAGCCAUGCCGCGUGCAGGAAGACUGCCCUAUGGGUUGUAAACUGCUUUUAUACGGGAAGAAACAGCUCUACGUGUAGAGCCUUGACGGUACCGUAAGAAUAAGCACCGGCUAACUCCGUGCCAGCAGCCGCGGUAAUACGGAGGGUGCAAGCGUUAUCCGGAAUCAUUGGGUUUAAAGGGUCCGUAGGCGGACAAUUAAGUCAGAGGUGAAAGUCUGCAGCUCAACUGUAGAAUUGCCUUUGAUACUGGUUGUCUUUGAAUUAUUGUGAAGUGGUUAGAAUAAGUAGUGUAGCGGUGAAAUGCAUAGAUAUUACUUAGAAUACCAAUUGCGAAGGCAGAUCACUAACAAUAUA